rnacentral:rRNA from 1 species
ACUCCUGCGGGAGGCAGCAGUGGGGAAUAUUGGACAAUGGGCGCAAGCCUGAUCCAGCCAUGCCGCGUGAGUGAUGAAGGCCCUAGGGUUGUAAAGCUCUUUCACCGGUGAAGAUAAUGACGGUAACCGGAGAAGAAGCCCCGGCUAACUUCGUGCCAGCAGCCGCGGUAAUACGAAGGGGGCUAGCGUUGUUCGGAUUUACUGGGCGUAAAGCGCACGUAGGCGGACUAUUAAGUCAGGGGUGAAAUCCCGGGGCUCAACCCCGGAACUGCCUUUGAUACUGGUAGUCUUGAGUUCGAGAGAGGUGAGUGGAAUUCCGAGUGUAGAGGUGAAAUUCGUAGAUAUUCGGAGGAACACCAGUGGCGAAGGCGGCUCACUGGCUCGAUACUGACGCUGAGAUGCGAAAGCGUGGGGAGCAAACAGGAUUAGAAACCCUGGUAGUCCCA